AGCAUUCUGGCAAAAGUAAAGAGAUAGUAUUCGAGGAUCAAGAAUCGGAGUACUUGAAAUUCGACUCCCGAAAUAGUGAGUAACCUUACUAUCGUCUUAAUUAUCUAAAGUGGUUUUAUCCGAUUUUGUGAUUUUAUGGAAAAUGAGUUUAAAUGGUAAAUCUUUAUGUUUUAUAAGUAAAAUGGGAUUAAAUGAAAAUGAUUUUAUAAAAUUGUCUUGAAAUUGAAUGAUGGUUUGGAAAAUGGAGUAAUUAGAGACUAAUUGUUGUGUUAUAAAUCAUGGUUUGAAUUGAAUGGCUUAUGAUAAUAUUUGCAUGAAUGGCUGAAUUGGUUUUUGUGUUGAAAAUGUAUAAACUAUUAAUUUGCCUUGAGAGGAUGUAAAAUAAAAUAAUUGCCAUGUCAUGCUGUUGAAUUUUAUUGAAUUGGUGGGCUAUAUAUUGGUCGCUACAAUGGACGGGUUUCGUGGACCAGCCUAUUAGAGGGGCACAAUAACCCUAUUAUAUUCAUACGUCAGUAUGAGAGGCGCGGUUGGAUAACUCCUGAGGUUAAAACUUUAGAGUUUACUUCACACCAAAUCACCACGUGAGGGUGAACUCAGCCAACGCCAAGGAACGACUAUGUUUUCAAAAUAAAAACAUGAUUUAUGCGUACAUAACUUUUUAACAGCCUUGGCGGACUCGGUUGGGAUAGCCGUCGGCCAAGGUAUCCCUGAUAACUGAGUAUGAUAAUAAUUUUGUCACGACUCAGUACUCCCCUCGAGCUUGUGAUAAUCACCGCGACGUCUCGAUCGACACUCAUUACCUAGAAUGUCAACUGGAACCCUGUAAGGCUUUAAUAUCAACUUCUCAUUUCCCCUGUGAGUAACUGUUGCCAAAUACCACGUUCUAAAAGAUUUUAAACUGUUUCCAACUUAAAACAAACAAAAUAAUAAUUUUCGUCUCAUAGGGGUAUUUUGGUCAUUUUUUCCUAAAAAUUUCCAAACCAGCUGGAAUGUAAUAUAUAAGCACAAAACACAUAAUUUGAAAUUAAAAAUAAAUUUGGAUGUCUAAAACAUUCAUUUAAAAAGAAAUUAUGACUAUUAGAAUAAAAUUAAAAUAUAGAAUAAAAUAUUUAAUUUUCUAAUAAAACAAUAUUUUUAAGAACACUGCAUAAAUAAUUUUUAUAGCGUAAAAGCAAAAUAAAUUCCUACAUACAAUAGUACAGAUAACCAAAGUAUAAAAUUUAAUUUACAGUGACACGUGGGCCCACGAUGACUAAAAGUAUCAAAAGAAAUGAACCUAUAGUUUUUGGAUGUGGUAAGUCCAACUGUAGUCUUCAUCGAUAUCAGUUAUCUACAAUCUAUUCUGAGCCUAAAAUGGGUGGAAAGGAGGGUGGUGAGAUUAUGAAAUCCCAGUGAGUAAACAAACAUCAUUCAAAAUAUUUAAAGUCGAGCAAAAUGAGACUAUUAAAACAUUUCAUAAAACUGUAAUUUAUCACCUUUCAACUUAUUUCAACCAAAUGAAAUCAAUUUAUUUAAAUCAAGUAAUCAGUAUGGCUUAUGAAUUUCUUAAAAGCUUGGCUCAUGCCAAAAAUUAUUAUCAUACUCAGUUAUUUGGGAUACCUUGGCCGAGGGCUAUCCCAAUUGAGUCUGCCAAGGCUAUUAAAAAGUCAUGUUUUAUUUUGAAAACAUAGUCGUUCCUUGGCAUUGGCCGAGCUCCCUCUCACGUGGUGGUUUGGCGUGAAGUGAACUCUAAAAGUUAUACCUCGGGAGUUACCCUACUCGCCUCUCCAACCGAGGUAAAAUAUAACGGGGUUUACCGUGCCCUUCUAAUAGGCUAGUCCACGAAAAUUCGCCUACUGCAGUAAGCUAAUAAUUAUCCCACCAAUCAAUAAAAGUCAAUAACAUGAUAUGGCAAUUAUUAUAAUUCACAGCCAUUCAAGGCUAAAUACACAUUUCAUAUAUUUCAACACGAAUAUCAAUUCAGCCAUUCAUGCAAAUAUUGUUAUAAGCCAUUUGAUUCAAAUAAUAAAUUUUACAACAUAACAAGUGGUCUCCAAUUACUCUAUUUUUCAAAAUCAUUAUUCAAUUUCAAGACAAUUUAUAAAAUCUUUUCAUGUAAACACAUUUUGUUUGUAAAACACAAAGAUUUACCAUUUAAACUCAUUUUCAUAAAAUUUCACCAAAACCGAUUAAAAACAUACUUUAGAUAAUUAAAAUGAUGGUAAGGUUACUCACAGUACUAGGAGUUCGAUAUACUCCUAUUUUCGGUCUUCGAGCACAAUCUCUUUACCCUUGUUAGAGGGCUCACCACCUAUACAUCAUAAGUGACACGAAUUUCAAUAAAUUGUGUCAAUUUAUCAUAAACUAUUUCAGGCUCUAUAAAUCUGCAUGAAUGCACGAAAUGCGAUGCAAAAUGUCCGAAUAGCCAUUUAAAUACGGUAUUCGAUCUAAUUUGCACUAUUCUCGAUGUAAUUGGCUAAAACCUCCAAUUUAACUCCAAAUCAAUUUCUUUCACUUUCUACACUCCAAUUAUACCUAAAUUACCUCAGUGACUGUGAAUGAGAUUCAAUUUAUCAGUCCCAGGUCAAUAAUCACACAUGUCUAUACAUUAGGUAAAAAUUCAGAUUUUCACACCAAAAUUUCCCAUUUAAUUUCUAGCCUCACCAAACAUCAAAUAUCACCAAAAUAUCAUGAAAUAUCAUCAAUUUCAGCCACAAUAUCCUCCCUAGAAAAUUCGGCCAAUGAUGGUAAUGGGGGAAAAUGAAUUCUUUUCUUGUUGUUUUGUUUCUAAAUAUGCUAAACUAACUAAAAACACUAACAUAACUUAAAAUCAAAUCAAUCCAACAUCUUUCUCUCUCCAUACCCAUUUUGACCAGCCAUGAAUUCACCAUGAAAACAUGAAAUCUAACCAUAAAAAAUAAGGAGAAAUGCAUGGGAAAGGUAGAUCACAAGUCAAAAUCAAGAAAUUUUACCUUUGAUUGCUUGAUUCCUUGAAAUCCACUAAUUUUCCUUUGAAUUUUCCCACUUAGGGUUCUUGUUUUUCUUUUCUCCCUUUGUUAUUCCUUUGCUCUUGGUUUGGCCGGC
rnacentral:lncRNA from 1 species